CCUACGGGUGGCAGCAGUGAGGAAUAUUGGUCAAUGGACGCAAGUCUGAACCAGCCAUGCCGCGUGCAGGAAGACGGCUCUAUGAGUUGUAAACUGCUUUUGUACGAGGGUAAACGCAGAUACGCGUAUCUGUCUGAAAGUAACGUACGAAUAAGGAUCGGCUAACUCCGUGCCAGCAGCCGCGGUAAUACGGAGGAUUCAAGCGUUAUCCGGAUUUAUUGGGGUGAAAGGGUGCGUAGGCGGUCGGAUACGUGAGAGGUGAAAACCCGAGGCUCAACUUCGGAAUUGCCUCUGAUACUGUUCGGCUAGUGUGUAGUUGCGGUAGGCGGACUGUUUGGUGUAGCGGUGACAUGCUU
rnacentral:rRNA from 1 species